UAAAUGGCACAAGAGAAAAGCACAUCCUCGUCGCAAGCAAACAUCGGCAUAUUCUGAUGGGGUGUCGCCGCUUCCUAAUCUUUAAGACGUCGGGCCACCAUGUGCAGAUGGUCAUGUGUUAGUCAGACGUGACGGGACGGGACGGUGGAACGGACAUAGAAACAUGGAGCGUAAAAAGAAUACACACCGCGGUUGGAGUCAAAUAAUUUUCAGAUUAGUCAGUUGACUACAUAGGAAAAACCAACAAAAAUAUAUAAAUAAAU